rnacentral:rRNA from 1 species
AUUGAACGCUGGCGGCAUGCUUUACACAUGCAAGUCGAACGGUAACAGGCCUUCGGGUGCUGACGAGUGGCGAACGGGUGAGUAAUGCAUCGGAACGUGCCCAAUCGUGGGGGAUAACGUAGCGAAAGUUACGCUAAUACCGCAUAAGCCCUGAGGGGGAAAGUGGGGGACCGCAAGGCCUCACGCGAAUGGAGCGGCCGAUGUCAGAUUAGCUAGUUGGUGGGGUAAAGGCCCACCAAGGCGACGAUCUGUAGCGGGUCUGAGAGGAUGAUCCGCCACACUGGGACUGAGACACGGCCCAGACUCCUACGGGAGGCAGCAGUGGGGAAUUUUGGGACAAUGGGCGCAAGCCUGAUCCAGCCAUGCCGCGUGCGGGACGAAGGG